UACAGAGGUCUCAAGCGUUGUUCGGAUUCAUUGGGCGUAAAGGGUGCGUAGGCGGCGCGGUAAGUCGGGUGUGAAAUCUCGGGGCUUAACUCCGAAACUGCAUUCGAUACUGCCGGUGCUUGAGGACUGGAGAGGAGACUGGAAUUACGGUGUAGCGGUGAAAUGCGUAGAUAUCGUAAGGAAGACCAGUGGCGAAGGCGGGUCUCUGGGCCGGAUACUGGACGGCUGAGGAGCGAAAGGCGUGGGGAGCGAACAGG
rnacentral:rRNA from 1 species